CCCGCAGGCUGUCCCACCUCUCGCUGCGCAAUAAUGGCCUCGGUGACGAGGCGGCGCGGCUGCUGGGGCUGAGCCUCUCCACCCUCGGCUCCUCCAACCGCAGCCUGGUCUCGCUGGUGCUCAGCUUCAACCACAUCUCGGAUUUGGGAGCGGGGCACAUCGCCCAGGUGGGGGCUAUGGGGUGGGCGAGGGGGGGCCCCGCUGUCUGUGUGCCCCCCCCCCUUCCCCUCUCAGCUUUUUCUGUGCGCCCCCCAUCCCCAAGGGUUUGCGCUGGAACCGCUCGCUGCUGUCGCUGUCCCUGGCGCACAAUGACAUUGGGGAUGAGGGGGCUCUGCGGCUGGCUCAGGUGCUGGCUCCUUUCGCUCUGACGCACGCCGAGGUGGUGGAACGGCGGCGGCUGCUGCUGGCGGAGGCCAUGGAGAAGCCCCAGGCGCCCGAGGGCAGGAGCGAGCGCGCCCCGAGCCUGCAGAGCGGCGCGGCCACCGAGAGGCUGCUCCCGGCCAAGCACAGCAAGAGCACGGCCAAAAAGAAGGAGCUGCCGCGGAAGGACGAGCUGAAACAGCCCAAAAAAUCUGUGACAGCCCCUGCAGACCCCCGGCCCCCCCGAAGCCGCAGUGCCAAAGCCACCAGCAAGGAGAAGCGCAGCUCGGAGGCGCAGGAUGCGGCCGAGCCCUCGCACCCGCUGCUGGAGCCGGCGUGGCACCGCCAGGGCCAGGUCGUGGUGCCGGGGAACCGAGCGCUGCUCAACCUCAACCUGUGCCAUAACCGCAUCACGGAGCGGGGGCUGGCUGCUUUCCUGGCUGUGCUGCAGGAGGAGCAGCCGGGGGGGGGGCACGGGGAGGCCGGGGCUGCUGCGCCUCUCGCUGCAGAGGAACCGCUUCAAUCCCACCUGCGAGGCUUUCGCCCAGCUCCAGGAGCUGCUGCAGCGGCGCGACCCCGUCCCCAAACCGCGGGAGGAGCAGGCGCCGGGUCCUUAAAGCAGGAUUCGGGGCUCUUUUUUGGGGUGAAAAACCCCAAAAAAAGGCAAAACCGAAAAAUCUUGACUGUGGGGAGGAAGGAAAUAAAGCACCGUGCACAGGAUUGAACAGCAACCGGUCGGGCUUGGCUCUAUUAUAUAUAAUAUAUAUACCACACCC
rnacentral:lncRNA from 1 species